UCGAGAAUAAUUGUCAAUGGACGAAAGUCUGAACAUGCGAUGCCGCGUGUAGGAUGAAGGCCCUCGGGUCGUAAACUACUUUUAUUGGGGAAAAAUUACGAUGAUGGUACCCAAUGAAUAAGGGGUUACUAACUCUGUGCCAGCAGUAGCGGUAAUACAGAGACCCCAAGCGUUAUCCGGAUUUAUUGGGCGUAAAGGGUGCGUAGGCGGAUAUAUUAGUCAGAUGUCAAAUCCUUCGACUCAAUCGAAGAACCGCAUUUGAAACGGUAUAUCUAGAGAAUGUGAGAGAUCAGUGGAAUUCAUGGUGUAGUAGUGAAAUGCGUUGAUAUCAUGAAGAACAUCCAAGGCGAAGGCAGCUGAUUGGCACAUUUCUGACGCUGAGGCACGAAAGCGUGGGGAGCGAAUGGG
rnacentral:rRNA from 1 species